rnacentral:piRNA from 1 species
UCUUGAGUUUGUCAGGGAAGUAUGGG